GGAGGAAUAUUGGGCAAUGGGGGAAACCCUGACCCAGCAACGCCGCGUGAAGGAUGAAGGCCUUCGGGUUGUAAACUUCUGUGACAGGGGAAGAAAGAAAUGACGGUACCCUGGGAGGAAGCCACGGCAAACUACGUGCCAGCAGCCGCGGUAAUACGUAGGUGGCGAGCGUUGUCCGGAAUCACUGGGCGUAAAGGGCGCGUAGGCGGUUUCACAAGUCGCAUGUGAAGGACCAGGGCUUAACCUUGGGGGGUCAUGCGAAACUGUGAGACUUGAGUGCAGUAGAGGAAAGCGGAAUUCCUGGUGUAGCGGUAAAAUGCGUAGAGAUCAGGAGGAACACCGGUGGCGAAGGCGGCUUUCUGGGCUGCAACUGACGCUGAGGCGCGAAAGCGUGGGGAGCAAACA
rnacentral:rRNA from 1 species